GAUGAAGAACGUAGCGAAAUGCGAUAAGUAAUGUGAAUUGCAGAAUUCAGUGAAUCAUCGAAUCUUUGAACGCACAUUGCGCCCGCCAGUAUUCUGGCGGGCAUGCCUGUUCGGGCGUCAUUUCAACCAUCAAGCCCCAGGCUUGUGUUGGGGACCUGCGGCUGCCGCAGGCCCUGAAAACCAGUGGCGGGCUCGCUGUCACACCGGGCGUAGUAGAUUUUAUCUCGCUCAGGGCGUGCUGCGGGUUCCGGCCGUUAAAAAGCCUUUUUUACCCAAGGUUGACCUCGGAUCAGGUAGGAAUACCCGCUGAACUUAAGCAUAUCAAUAAGCGGAGGA
rnacentral:misc_RNA from 1 species